AUAGUUUAUGGAUUUUGACCGUUGAUAUUUUAAUUUAAGAAAUGUUCAUUGAGUAUAUGAUUAGGAAAAAGAUUUCUAAUAUGUAGAAUGUUUUUAUUUUUACGUUGAAAUUACUACUUGUGGUCCAUUUUUACUUUGAUAUGCUAGUGUUGGUUGAGAACUUUGUGUACCAGUUAAAAUAGAGAUGCUUGACCAUUGCAAUGUCGUAUUAGUCGUCAACAAGUUAUGUAGGCACUUCUAGGUCAUUUUGAGUUACUUUUCGGUCUUGAAUGUAGUUGAGGCACUUUUAGGACACGUUUGUAGUUUUAGAGAGUGUGUUACAUGCACUGAAUAAAUGUAGAAAUCUUUUAAGUAGUUUUUCAAUUUGAGCUUUAAGUGUUUUGAUGUCUCCUUUUCUCAAUAAAUCUGAUACUUCGGUAAGAGAGUGAUAUCCCAUGAAACAUUUGAAAAAGGAAGGCUGCUAUGCAUAUAGUUGGUCGUCAGCUGAAUUGGACCAGAUUCUAGUGUGUAAAUACCAUAUCUGUUGGAAGAAAAAGUACGAAACAAGUGAUUGAGGAAAAAGCUUCAUCUUAAGCCAACGAAGAUCUUCAUGAAAACACUAGACGGCAAGACACUUACUUUAAAUAUUUUCAUGUUGCCGAAACCAAACUUCAGGCAAAGGAAGGUCGAAUCCUUACCCCCAUAGGUAUUCCAUAGGAAAUUGCAAAGCAUGAGGUUAGGCAGAGGAUGUGAAUCAAAUCAUGGAAGUUGCUUCAGUCGCUCCAAGGCUCAUUUUUCUCAUCUUUGACACGAUUCCCGCUUAUGCGUGAUGCACUAAAUGCAACUGGCCGAAGUAUUUUCUAUUCAAUUUGUGAAUGGGGUGUUGAUGGUCCAACAUUAUGGACCGGCAAGGUUGGAAACAGUUGGCAUACAACAAAUGACAUUAAUGAUACAUGGGCAAGGUCAAGUUCUUGGCCUUUCCAUCAAUCUUCCUUAAGUCAUUUUAUGUUGACACCAUAUUUUAGUACAUUGCUCGAACUUCUUAGCAGAAAAAUUGUUCAACUGGUUAGAAAAUAUUGGAAGAUUUUUCAGCUUUAUUAUUUUGCAUGCAUCGAUUUGCGUUUCAAGUUUUUUUUUAUGGGAUUUAGAAUUAAGACAGUUUUCCUUUGUAUUGAUAUUAAAUUCUUACAAAACUAUUUGUUAGUUAUGCCAAAUCUUUGCUUUGAAAGCUCUACCGCUACCAUAUCUUUCAUCUCUUUCAUUUUCAGGUGCUGCUAAUGCUAAUUUUUGUCUAUUAUGAUCAUGAUUGGUAUUUUUUUCUUGUGUGUUUUCCGUUUUCGUUCAAGCAUGUCUACUCUUGCAAAUAUCAACAAUAAGUGGGCAGCCUAUGCAGGACGUGGUGGCUGGAAUGGUAGGAAGAUGAUUUUGUCUAAAGGUUUCACACACAUUUCUCCCAAAUGUUAAGUGUUACAAGAAAAAGUAUAUGCAGGUUGGAAGAUGUCUUCCUUUUGUAGGUUUUAGCCAAGUCAAAUCCCUUUUCAAUUUUUGAUACGUAGUGAUCAAAAUUUGUAUUAAAAGUUCUGUUUAAUUUAUCUAAUUCAGAGGAAGCUAUAUAGUAGUGGAUUUAUUGGAAUUUAUUUUGUUGUAGAUUUGAUAAGAAAUAGAAAGGAAUUGUGACUCUUACAAAAAACAUUAUGUUGUUGCUUUUGGAUUGGCCAUUGCAGUUGAGCAAAGUAGAAGCAUUGUAAGCUCAUGCCCUUUUCCCCUUUCUUUCUCUCUGUUUACCAUUGUCUUCAUUGUUGCAUGUUUUAGUGAAAAUUUCUGCCUUUACUUAAAGAUCUUGGUGCUUUGUAGGCUUUUUCUUUUGGUUUUGUUUAGUUCAUUAGAGAGAGAAUGGAGAUUCAAACGUGAAGAAGAGCAACCACGGGGUAAAAAGGAGUAAAACCUCUUCAAUUACUAAUUGAUCAAUUUGCUAAGGUUAGUUUUAUAUUAUUUUUUGUUCUUAAUGUUGGAAAUUUAAACUAAGAGGCUUUAAAUCUAAGUUGGGGGAAUGUAUAUAGAAACUGCUACUGUUCUUAAUGUUGAAAAUUUAAGUUGCAUUCGGUCAAGGAGGCAUGUUAGACUUCAAUGGAGAUACACAUAUCACUCAACAUAUUUGUGUAAGUUUAAUUUUGUAUUCAUUUUUGUUCUUAAUGUUGGAAAUUCUUAAUUUUGCAUUUAGAUUUGUAAAUUGUUAGCUUGACCAAAUAUCUAAUACUAAAGGCUUUGAUUUUUCUUUAGGUGUUGAUCUAUGUUUUCAAGAAUACAUCUUUAA